GUCCGUGUCCAUCAAAGGAAAUAGAAGUGCGCGACGUGAUCCUAAAAUUAAAGUUAGUGUUAAAUGUUAAAAAUUAAAUGGUGUAAAUUAUUAAACUUUUUGGUGUCAUUGUAGGUUAAAACUUAAAAGUUACGAUAGUAGUAAAUCUUAAAAACUAUUAUCACAGUUCGAAGUAGUACGAAUAUAAUAAGCCACAAGAAGAGUGAAGAAGCAUUGUUCAAACUCAAUUAGCCUCACAAAAAGGUCCGUCCAACGGGCCUUUUUGUGUUUUUUGCGAGUGCUUGCCUGGCAAGCCGAUCUUCCCCAGAACCCCCGGAACAACGUCAUAAAGGCUGAAGGAUUGGAAUCCGUCAACACAUUCCGAUCGGGAAUAUCCCCAAAACGGACAGAAACCCCAUCCAGCCCCAACGUUCCACCAAGGUUCAUCGAGGAGACCGACCGGUUUAUGUUACGGCGUAAAUUCGGUCUAGUCAAUCCGAACCCAGCUACGAACCGCCAUUGCUUGACGCCAACGAAACCGAGCAUCCCAGACCGGUUCAUGUUCCGGCGUGAAUUCGGUCACCCCUCAACCGCCCUUGAAAUCUGCCACCAAAAACCGCACACCACCAGUUCCCGUACCACUUCUACCAACCAACAAGCGCACAAAACAUCCUGAAAAUUUGUAAACCGCAAGUACCACAAACCUAAUUUAGAGUGACGUCACUAAUAGGCCAGUUUAGGUGAAUAAAUAGUUGUAAAUCGAUUAUAGUUGGUGGUUAAGUUUUUUAUGCAGUGUUCCCUAACAGUUGAGUAGUUUACACCUAAUUUCAAUUUGUUUCCGUUUGCCGUGCUCAGAAAGGAGU